rnacentral:rRNA from 1 species
GAUGAACGCUAGCUACAGGCUUAACACAUGCAAGUCGAGGGGUAACGAGAGGAAAGCUUGCUUUCCUUGUCGACGACCGGCGCACGGGUGAGUAACGCGUAUCCAACCUGCCCCCAACUAGGGAAUAACCAUGCGAAAGUAAGACUAAUACCCUAUAAUUUCCUCAGAUGUCAUCUGACGAGGAAUAAAGAUUUAUCGGUUGUGGAUGGGGAUGCGUCUGAUUAGCUUGUUGGCGGGGUAACGGCCCACCAAGGCAACGAUCAGUAGGGGUUCUGAGAGGAAGGUCCCCCACAUUGGAACCGAGACACGGUCCAAACUCCUACGGGAGGCAGCAGUGAGGAAUAUUGGUCAAUGGGCGGAAGCCUGAACCAGCCAAGUAGCGUGCAGGAUGACGGCCCCAUGGGUUGUAAACUGCUUUUGUACAGGAAUAAAGUUAGCCACGUGUGGUUAUUUGUAGGUACUGUAUGAAUAAGGACCGGCUAAUUCCGUGCCAGCAGCCGCCGUAA